GGGUGACUGCGGAGAUCAUUAG
rnacentral:rRNA from 1 species